rnacentral:rRNA from 1 species
UACAGAGGUCUCAAGCGUUGUUCGGAUUCAUUGGGCGUAAAGGGCGCGUAGGCGGCGCGGUAAGUCGGGUGUGAAAUCUCGGAGCUUAACUCCGAAACUGCAUUCGAUACUGCCGUGCUUGAGGACUGGAGAGGAGACUGGAAUUUACGGUGUAGCGGUGAAAUGCGUAGAUAUCGUGAGGAAGACCAGUGGCGAAGGCGGGUCUCUGGGCCGAUACUGACGCUGAGGAGCGAAAGCGUGGGGAGCGAACAGG